rnacentral:rRNA from 1 species
GAUGAACGCUAGCGGCAGGCCUAACACAUGCAAGUCGAACGGUAACAUGAGUAGCAAUACUUGAUGACGAGUGGCGCACGGGUGCGUAACGCGUAUGCAACUUACCUCUAACUGGAGAAUAGCCUUCCGAAAGGAAGAAUAAUACUCCAUAAUAUUACGAUGUGGCAUCACAUUGUUCUUAAAGCUUCGGCGGUUAGAGAUGGGCAUGCGUCUGAUUAGCUUGUUGGUGAGGUAACGGCUCACCAAGGCAACGAUCAGUAGGGGGCCUGAGAGGGUUAUCCCCCACACUGGUACUGAGACACGGACCAGACUCCUACGGGAGGCAGCAGUGAGGAAUAUUGGUCAAUGGACGAAAGUCUGAACCAGUCAUGCCGCGUGCAGGAUGAAUGCCCUAUGGGUUGUAAACUGCUUUUGUACGGGAAGAAACACCCCUCGUGAGGGGCUUGACGGUACCGUAAGAAUAAGGAUCGGCUAACUCCGUGCCAGCA